rnacentral:rRNA from 1 species
UGCGAAGGGUGCAAGCGUUACUCGGAAUUACUGGGCGUAAAGCGCACGUAGGCGGAUCGUAAAGUCAGAGGUGAAAUCCCAGGGCUCAACCUUGGAACUGCCUUUGAAACUUCCGGUCUUGAGUUCGAGAGAGGUGAGUGGAAUUCCGAGUGUAGAGGUGAAAUUCGUAGAUAUUCGGAGGAACACCAGUGGCGAAGGCGGCUCACUGGCUCGAUUCUGACGCUGAGGUGCGAAAGCGUGGGUAGCAAACAGG